CUUCGGAAAGGCAGACACUCCACCCCCGCAGUUGCCUUGAGGAAUCUUAACAAGGUGUCAGUGUUGUGUCUAAGGAAUGAGCAUGUGAAUCUACACAGUCUUAGUAGUUUCUGGGAGAAACUUCCACUGCACCCAAACUGCUCAUUUCAACCUGAAAAUCCAAGGUGAAGAAUAUCCAGCCCAGCCCAGAUCAGCAAUCUCCUUCCUUCACAUUCACUGUCGGGGAGCUGCUAACCCUAUCCCGCUCUCCUUGGCCCCCUCCCGCCACGACACCAGCAGCUCACCGUGUUUGGUGUGCGGAUGAAGAUCUUGGUGUGUCCGUACGCCAGCUCCUUGGGCUCAAUGGGCAGGCUGCUCAGGAGGGCUUGCACCCCGUCCCUGCUUCAGGAAAGAGGCUCCUGGCAGUAGACUGGCCAGAUCCAAGCACAGUCCAGGUCUAUCCUAUCCUCAGUUCCAGACAUGGACACAUGAUUCAGCAACCUAGAUGAAGUUAAUCAGAUCUGAGCC